UUGCAAGGUCCAUAUGUCCUGAGUUCAGUCCCUGAGGCUGUCCUGUUGGCAGGCAAGAGCCUCUGUGGGAGAUUUUUAUGUGAUCAGAAAUAAGCUUUUGAAGGGUUUGUGGGGUCUCUUCUGCUUUCUGGACAUGAGGAGAGCAGUUGUUUUUCCACAUUCUGACUACCAUUUUCACCCAGAUGGUUGUUAAGCCCAAGAGUGACUGACAGGGAGAAAUGGACUGAAAGGGAGAGGUGGUUCUAAAGGUUUAAUGUGAUGGUAAGGGAAGAGACACAACAAAGGGAAGAACUUUGAAAAAUUUGCACUGAAUUUCAAAUAUGAAUUCAAGUUUUGUAAGAUUAUGGCAACAUUUUUGUCAAUGAAUGUUAAACAGUAAUGCCAGUUGUUCAAUUCAUUCUUGAGAAGGACAUUGAAUUAUCUUUAAAAAGGUCUUUAUUUUGUUUUUCUGAGAUACAGUUUCUUUGUGUAGCCCUGGCUGACCUGGAACUCACUCUAUAGACUAGGCUGGCCUCGAACUUAUGGAGAUCUGGCUGCCUCUGCCUCACAAGUACUGGGAUUAAGGAGUGUGCUACCACCACUCACUGCUGAAAAGUAUUUAAAGUUUCAUUUCUGACUUUAGUCUUAGCCGCUUUUUUUUUUCUUAUAGAAACCGCUUACAAAUGUUCCUUUCUCCCUUUUAAUUUUUAUAUCAUUUUCUUUUUCUUUUAAUUUUAUUUUAUUUUACAUUAUACAUAGAACAAAUGAUUUAUACAAGUAACAUCUCUUUCUAAUAUACAUGUUUUAUAUGAAAUAUGGUUUUGGCUGUCAUCAUCGUCUACAUAAAAUAACUGAUUUUCAAAGAGGUUAAGUAACUUGGUGGUGGUGACACAGCUGGCAGGUCUCUCAUGAGGUCUGCGUGACUCUACAACCUGCAGCCUGCCCCGCUGUUUCUGCCAAGGGGGGGGGACCGUUGAUUAGAGCAGAUUUCAAGUUUCACAUUCAUAUGAGGGAGGAUAUUUACCUCAUUCUCUCAGUUUGGCGUUGGAGUGAUGUUUCUGUGCACCGUGUAAAGGUUGUCUUUGUAUAUUCAAGUGCUGAUUUCUGUACCAGCAGAGCGCUGAGUGUAGUGGACUUUGGUAUUAUUAAGAAUCACCUGUUUCAAUGUUUUAUAAACAUACGCUUCUCUCACCUUCCGAUUGGUUUAAGAAAGAGCUAAGCAGCCAAUAGCGAAGGCAGGAAAGCAGGACUUCUGGAAGAGAGUGAAACUCUGGGAAAGAAUCAGGCGUGGGAAGAGUUACCUGCUGGAUAUGAAGGGAAAAACAAGUGCCAGGAUUGAGAUGGAGAAGUAACAGGGGCUAAUACGAACAGGAUAAAUUAAGGUGUGGCAUGUGGGACUGAUUGAGAUGGUCCACAGCAGCGGGCUGUUUGCCUCAUGCGGGCUCUGAGAGGAGCUCUUUGCCAGCUGCAGAUAAUUUAACUCUGACGACUCUGGAGAGAGAAUAAAUGUCAGAGCCCAGAGUGUGGAGAUGAAAGAACCAGGCUGCUCCUGCUCCCUCCUUUGUUGCUCCUGGGUGCUGUUUGAUGCAAUGGGAGAAGAAGCUGGAGAUCUCCUGAAAUGAAGAUUGGACCGUCUCUAAGGAACCUGACAACCCUAAGAAGCAGGAAGCAGCUAAGAGAACUGCACCCCCUCCCACUAACCCUUUCUCUCUCUUAUCUGGUAUUGACAUGUUGGAAGGGAUUGGUGUGGAGUAGGGAAAAAGAGAUAUAAGAAAUGUAAAUAAAAAAGUUUUAAAAAACUAA